UACGUAGGGAGCAAGCGUUGUCCGGAAUCAUUGGGCGUAAAGCGCGCGUAGGCGGCCUUGUAAGUCCGUUGUGAAAGUCAAAGGCUCAACCUUUGAAAGCCGAUGGAUACUGCAAGGCUGGAGUCCGGAAGAGGCGAGUGGAAUUCCUGGUGUAGCGGUGGAAUGCGCAGAUAUCAGGAGGAACACCAGUGGCGAAGGCGGCUCUCUGGACCUCUGCUGACGCUGAGGCGCGAAAGCGUGGGGAGCGAUCCGG
rnacentral:rRNA from 1 species